UUGGAGGGCAAGUCUGGUGCCAGCAGCCGCGGUAAUUCCAGCUCCAAUAGCGUAUAUUAAAGUUGUUGCAGUUAAAAAGCUCGUAGUUGAAUUUCGGGGUUCUACCGUUGGUCGGGCUUUGUCUGUACUGGUGUGUAGAAUUUCUACCUUCUGGGGAACCAUCAUGCUAUUAAUUUAGCGUGGUGGGAAACCAGGACCUUUACCUUGAAAAAAUUAGUGUGUUCAAAGCAGGCUUAUGUCUGAAUACAUUAGCGUGGAAUAAUAGAAUAGGACGGUGGUCCUGUUUUGUUGGUUUCUGAAUCACCGUAAUGAUUAAUAGGGAUAGUUGGGGGCAUUAGUAUUCAAUUGUCAGAGGUGAAAUUCUUGGAUUUAUUGAAGACUAACUUCUGCGAAAGCAUUUGCCAAGGAUGUUUUCAUUAAUCAAGAACGAAAGUUAGGGGAUCGAAGACGAUCAGAUACCGUCGUAGUCUUAACCAUAAACCAUGCCGACUAGGGAUCAGACGAUGUUAAUUUUUCUUGACUCGUUCGGCGCCUUACGGGAAAC
rnacentral:rRNA from 1 species